AUGACCAUGAAAACAACUGCUCGCGUUCAAGCACGAGGAUUUGUUGAGGCUCUACUUAAGUAUGAGAUGAUACUGACAGCACAAACCUUCCUCAGGAUAUUUGAGCAGACAUCACCACUGUCCAAAUACCUCCAAACACAACAGAUGGAUAUUUUGUCUGCCCACAGAAUGGUUAUGGCAACACAUGAAAGCCUGAAAAGCAUGUCAAGAGACUUUGCCUCAGUCAAUGCAGCUGCAGGGAAAUUUGUUCUGUGGGCAAAUGAAAAAUUGCAGGAGCAAGACAAAGAGAUAGAGCUGGAAGUUGAGUCUGCAUUACCAUCAAAAAGGAGGAGGAAGAAGACAACCAGGCCUGGAGAGAUUCCUCAUGCUGAAACUGUCACAAAUCCAGAAAAGGUUUAUGAAGUUACAGUCCAUAAUCAGAUCAUGGACACAGCUACUGAGACACUACACAGGAGGUUUCUGGGUCAUGGAACACUCUAUGCUGACCUUGCAUUUCUAGACCCAAGGAACUUCACUCAGUUAAAGACAUCCUCUCUUCCACCAUUGAUGUUCCAAGAGCUUAGCAAAUGUCUGUUGAGGUUUGACAGUGAAGCAACUGCUGAGAAUUUACAAUGUGAAUUUAGAAAUUUUGUUCUACAGUGGGAAAAAUUGAAAAUGUAUCCACUAGAUGAAUACAAGGUCAAAACAUUGGAAGACAAGACAGAAGAUGAGGGGGUUGAAAUCCAAUGCAAGGAGUGUUCCUCAUGUAAUGAAUGUCCACUGUGUUGCUAUCAGAUUCUCGGGAGGUUCAAUCUGAUGUCAAAUGCCUACCACCUCCUAGGUCUGGCAUACAAGUUCCUGCUCACCCUGUCAAUCACUCAGGUUGCCUGUGAACGCACAUUUUCAACGCUUAAGUUCAUUAAAACCAGACUCAGAAGCAAGCUCUCACAGGAGCACUUGGAAGCUUUUAUGUUGAUGGCAACAGAGAGGGACAUCCUUUUCUCUCUUGACUCUGAUGUGAUCAUUGACAAAGUUGCAGAGAAAAGUGAACUGUUUACUAAGCUUCUCCUGUAG
ensembl:lncRNA